rnacentral:tRNA from 1 species
AAGGGAAAAGGCUAUAGAAAUAGCUGCUAACUAAUUUCUAAAGCGGUUUAACUCCGUUUAUCCCUUG